UGGGGAAUAUUGGACAAUGGGGGCAACCCUGAUCCAGCGAUGCCGCGUGUGUGAAGAAGGCCUGCGGGUUGUAAAGCACUUUCAGUUGGGAAGAGAAGCACAGUAUGAAGAAUAGUGUGUGGAGACGUUACUAACAGAAGAAGCACCGGCUAACUCUGUGCCAGCAGCCGCGGUAAUACAGAGGGUGCAAGCGUUAAUCGGAGUGACUGGGCGUAAAGGGUACGUAGGCGGUUAUGUUAGUCUGAUGUGAAAGACCUGGGCUUAACCUGGGAUGUGCAUUGGAAACGGCAUAGCUAGAGUAUGGGAGAGGGAAGUGGAAUUUCCGGUGUAGCGGUGAAAUGCGUAGAGAUCGGAAAGAACACUGGUGGCGAAGGCGGCUUCCUGGCCCAAAACUGACGCUGAGGUACGAAAGCGUGGGGAGCAAACAGGAUUAGAUACCCCCGUAGUCC
rnacentral:rRNA from 1 species